GACGAACGCUGGCGGCGUGCUUAACACAUGCAAGUCGAGCGGAGCGGCGCACGGGUGAGUAACGCGUGAGUAACUGCCCCCCUCUCUGGGAUAACCGUUGGAAACGGCUGCUCAUACCGGAUAGUGGGGGAUGACGCGCGUCCUAUCAGGUUGUUGGUGGGGUAGUGGCCUACCAAGGCGACGACGGGUAGCCGGCCUGAGAGGGCGAGCGGCCACAUUGGGCUGAGAUACGGCCCAAACUGCUACGGGAGGCAGCAGUGGGGAAUAUUGCACAAUGUGGGAAACCCUGAGGCAGCAACGCCGGGUUCGGGAUGACGGCCUUCGGGUUGUGAACCGCUUUCAGCUAUGACGCGGUAGUUGCAGAAGAAGCACCGGCUAACUACGUGCCAGCAGCCGCGGUAAUUC
rnacentral:rRNA from 1 species